rnacentral:tRNA from 1 species
GAUUCGUUGUAGUAUAGUGGUAAGUAUUCCCGCCUGUCACGUGGGUGACUCGGGUUCGAUCCCUGGCAACGACGCC